AUUGAACGCUGGCGGCAGGCUUAACACAUGCAAGUCGAGCGGGGUGAUGGUGCUUGCACUAUCACUUAGCGGCGGACGGGUGAGUAAUGCUUAGGAAUCUGCCUAUUAGUGGGGGACAACAUCUCGAAAGGGAUGCUAAUACCGCAUACGUCCUACGGAAGAAAGCAGGGGAUCACUUGUGACCUUGCGCUAAUAGAUGAGCCUAAGUCGGAUUAGCUAGUUGGUGGGGUAAAGGCCUACCAAGGCGACGAUCUGUAGCGGGUCUGAGAGGAUGAUCCGCCACUCUGGGACUGAGACACGGCCCAGACUCCUGCGGGAGGCAGCAGUGGGGAAUAUUGGACAAUGGGGGGAACCCUGAUCCAGCCAUGCCGCGUGGGUGAAGAAGGCCUUAUGGUCGUAAAGCACUUUAAGCGAGGAGGAGGCUCUUUUGGUUAAUACCCAAGAUGAGUGGACGUUACUCGCAGAAUAAGCACCGGCUAACUCUGUGCCAGCCGCCGCCGUAA
rnacentral:rRNA from 1 species